rnacentral:rRNA from 1 species
GAUGAACGCUAGCGGGAGGCUUAACACAUGCAAGUCGAGCGGGAUUAGCAGCAAUGCUAUGAGAGCGGCGCACGGGUGCGUAACGCGUAUGCAACCUGCCUUAUACAGGGGAAUAGCCCAUGGAAACGUGGAUUAACGUCCCAUAGGAUCACGGGAUCGCAUGGUUUUGUGAUUAAAACUGAGGUGGUAUAAGAUGGGCAUGCGUCUGAUUAGGUAGUUGGUGAGGUAAUGGCUCACCAAGCCGACGAUCAGUAGGGGUUCUGAGAGGAUUACCCCCCACACUGGUACUGAGACACGGACCAGACUCCUACGGGAGGCAGCAGUGAGGAAUAUUGGUCAAUGGCCGGAAGGCUGAACCAGCCAUCCCGCGUGCAGGAUGACGGCCCUAUGGGUUGUAAACUGCUUUUGUACCUGAAGAAACCUGGUUACGUGUAACCAGUUGCCGGUAAGGUAUGAAUAAGCAUCGGCUAACUCCGUGCCAGCAGCCGCGGUAAU